CUGAGUGAGGGCUCACGCCCGACCUCCAACCCUCUGUGAACCAACUCUGUUGCUUCGGGGGCGACCCCGCCGUUUCGGCGACGGCGCCCCCGGAGAUCAUCAAACACUGCAUCUUUGCGUCGGAGUCUUAAAGUAAAUUUAAACA
rnacentral:misc_RNA from 1 species